CGCGUAGGCGGUCUCUUAAGUCAGAUGUGAAAGCCCGGGGCUUAACCCCAGAAGUGCAUUUGAAACUAAGGGACUUGAGUAUGGGAGAGGGAAGUGGAAUUCCUGGUGUAGAGGUGAAAUUCGUAGAUAUCAGGAGGAACACCGGUGGCGAAGGCGACUACCUGGACCAAUACUGACGCGGAGGCGCGAAGGCGUGGGGAGCAAACAGGAUUAGAUACCCUGGUAGUCC
rnacentral:rRNA from 1 species